rnacentral:lncRNA from 1 species
AACAUUCCCUACAAGUUCCCUACAUGAAUUGCAUAAUAGAGAUACAAGCAAGAAUCAUUAAGUUCUAUAAAAAACAUAAGCAUUGACGAGGCACUCGUUACUAUGAUUUGCAUGAAACUUAUGCCAAGAAUUUACUUAACGUGAUUGUGACUAGCAACCUUCACUACUUGUGAAUAUAAGUUCAUAAUGAUUAGGUGAAACUCCCUUAUAUUCUAGCGUUAAAUUCAUGCAUGAAAAUUAAGCGUGCACUCUCAACCAACAUACACAAAUCAUUUCUUAUACGAUCGGAUAAGUAAAUUGAAUUCACAACUUAUGAAUCACAACUGGAUGUAAUCAAAUCAUAUUGCAAGUAUGAACAUGGUUUCGAAUCACCCACUAACUAAGAGG